UACAGAGGGUGCAAGCGUUGUUCGGAAUUAUUGGGCGUAAAGCGCGUGUAGGCGGCUUUGCAAGUCGGGUGUGAAAGCCCUCAGCUCAACUGAGGAAGUGCGCCCGAAACUGCAUGGCUUGAAUACCGGAGAGGAUGGCGGAAUUCCCCAAGUAGAGGUGAAAUUCGUAGAUAUGGGGAGGAACACCGGUGGCGAAGGCGGCCAUCUGGACAUUAACUGACGCUGAUGCGCGAAAGCGUGGGGAGCAAACAGG
rnacentral:rRNA from 1 species